GGUAAAAUUGCUAGGAAAUUUGUAAGCUUAACUUUAUAAAAAGCUGCAAAACUAUUUUCCAGAGUGGGUGCAUUAGUUUAAAAUUUUCACCAGCAAU
rnacentral:pre_miRNA from 1 species